UGGUGUGCGUUCAAACAGUUGAAUGCACUUGUUGUUCCAGUCAGUUUAAUCACCUCUAAAUUAAUGUGCAGCCUUCACUAAAGCACAAACAGGCGCACAGAAAGGGAUUUCAUUGAUUUGAUGCGUUUCAAUACUAAUAUUUCUUUGGAUUUUUGUAGAAUUUUUAAUUAUCAUGUCCCAUGCACUCACAUGUUUGUUUUUGUUUCUCUCUGCAGAUAAUUUAUGUGAGUUGCUGAUAUCAAGGGAAAGCUAAAAAGAAAGCGUAAAUCAUCCUUGAGAACUUGAACCACGUACAAGAGAGUGUCCUUUGCAUCCUAAAGCCAGUAAAAGCAAGAAGUUCUUUCACGAAUCAAGACUACAAGUCAAAGAGAUGUUUGACAGUCCUCCAAACAACUAACUGUCCACAAACACAGCCAGAUGGUG